GGGCCAUAGGUCAGUGGUAGAGCAUUUGCUUUGCACACAGAUGAUCCUUGGUUCAAUCCCUGGCAUCUCCA